rnacentral:rRNA from 2 species
UACGUAGGGUGCGAGCGUUGUCCGGAAUUAUUGGGCGUAAAGGGCUCGUAGGCGGUUUGUCGCGUCGGGAGUGAAAACACCGGGCUUAACUCGGUGCUUGCUUCCGAUACGGGCAGACUAGAGGCAUGCAGGGGAGAACGGAAUUCCUGGUGUAGCGGUGAAAUGCGCAGAUAUCAGGAGGAACACCGGUGGCGAAGGCGGUUCUCUGGGCAUGUCCUGACGCUGAGGAGCGAAAGUGUGGGGAGCGAACAGG